GUGCCAGCCGCCGCGGUAAUUCCAGCUCCAAUAGCGUAUAUUAAAGUUGUUGUGGUUAAAAAGCUCGUAGUUGAACCUUGGGCCUGGCUGGCCGGUCCGCCUCACCGCGUGCACUGGUCCGGCCGGGCCUUUCCCUCUGUGGAACCCCAUACCCUUCACUGGGCGUGGCGGGGAAACAGGACAUUUACUUUGAAAAAAUUAGAGUGCUCCAGGCAGGCCUAUGCUCGAAUACAUUAGCAUGGAAUAAUAAAAUAGGACGCGCGGUUCUAUUUUGUUGGUUUAUAGGACCGCCGUAAUGAUUAAUAGGGACAGUCGGGGGCAUCAGUAUUCAACUGUCAGAGGUGGAAUUCUUGGAUCAGUUGAAGACUAACUACUGCGAAAGCAUUUGCCAAGGAUGUUUUCAUUAAUCAGGAACGAAAGUUAGGGGAUCGAAGACGAUCAGAUACCGUCGUAGUCUUAACCAUAAACUAUGCCGACUAGGGAUCGGACGGUGUUAUUCAUGACCCGUUCGGGCACCUUUACGAGAAAUCAAAGUGCUUGGGCUCCAGGGGGAGUAUGGUCGCAAGGCUGAAACUUAAAGAAAUUGACGGAAGGGCACCACCAGGGUGGAAGCCUGCGGCUUAAUUUGACUCAACACGGGGAAACUCACCAGGGUCAGACACAAUAAGGAUUGACAGAUUGAGAGCUCUUUCUUGAUUUUGUGGGUGUGGUGCAUGGCCGUUCUUAGUUGUGGGGGUGACUUGUCUGCUAAAUGCGAUAACGAACGAGACUUGACCUGCCAAAUAGCCGGCAUUGCUCCGGCAAGUGCGCUGGGCUUCUAAGAGGGACUUUUCGGCUCCAAGCCGGAAGAAAGUUUGAGAGGCC
rnacentral:rRNA from 1 species